GAGCGGCGGACGGGUGAGUAACACUUAGGAAUCUACCUAGUAGUGGGGGAUAGCUCGGGGAAACUCGAAUUAAUACCGCAUACGACCUACGGGAGAAAGGGGGCAGUUUACUGCUCUCGCUAUUAGAUGAGCCUAAGUCGGAUUAGCUAGAUGGUGGGGUAAAGGCCUACCAUGGCGACGAUCUGUAGCUGGUCUGAGAGGAUGAUCAGCCACACCGGGACUGAGACACGGCCCGGACUCCUACGGGAGGCAGCAGUGGGGAAUAUUGGACAAUGGGGGAAACCCUGAUCCAGCCAUGCCGCGUGUGUGAAGAAGGCCUUUUGGUUGUAAAGCACUUUAAGCAGUGAAGAAGACCAUAUGGUUAAUACCCAUAUGCGAUGACAUUAGCUGCAGAAUAAGCACCGGCUAACUCUGUGCCAGCAGCCGCGGUAAUACAGAGGGUGCAAGCGUUAAUCGGAAUUACUGGGCGUAAAGCGAGCGUAGGUGGCUUGAUAAGUCAGAUGUGAAAUCCCCGGGCUUAACCUGGGAACUGCAUCUGAUACUGUUAAGCUAGAGUAGGUGAGAGGGAAGUAGAAUUCCAGGUGUAGCGGUGAAAUGCGUAGAGAUCUGGAGGAAUACCGAUGGCGAAGGCAGCUUCCUGGCAUCAUACUGACACUGAGGCUCGAAAGCGUGGGUAGCAAACAGGAUUAGAUACCCUGGUAGUCCACGCCGUAAACGAUGUCUACUAGUCGUUGGGUCCCUUGAGGACUUAGUGACGCAGCUAACGCAAUAAGUAGACCGCCUGGGGAGUACGGCCGCAAGGUUAAAACUCAAAUGAAUUGACGGGGGCCCGCACAAGCGGUGGAGCAU
rnacentral:rRNA from 1 species